rnacentral:rRNA from 1 species
AUUGAACGCUGGCGGCAUGCUUUACACAUGCAAGUCGAACGGCAGCGGGGAGGAGCUUGCUUCUCUGCCGGCGAGUGGCGCACGGGUGAGUAAUACAUCGGAACGUGUCGAGAAGAGGGGGAUAACCACCCGAAAGGGUGGCUAAUACCGCAUAAAUUCUGAGGAAGAAAGCUGGGGAUCUAGGAAUAGGCCUAGCGCUUUUUGAGCGGCCGAUGUCGGAUUAGCUAGUUGGUGAGGUAAAGGCUCACCAAGGCGAAGAUCUGUAGCGGGUCUGAGAGGAUGAUCCGCCACACUGGGACUGAGACACGGCCCAGACUCCUACGGGAGGCAGCAGUGGGGAAUUUUGGACAAUGGGGGCAACCCUGAUCCAGCCAUGCCGCGUGUAUGAAGAAGGCCUUAGGGUUGUAAAGUACUUUUGUUAGGGAAGAAAAGUCAGCUGUGAAUAAUGGCUGAUACUGACGGUACCUAAAGAAUAAGCACCGGCUAACUACGUG